CCCAAAAAAGUUACAGGCAGUGAGCCUCACUCAUUCACUCCCCAUGAACCCCGCCGCCUCCCUCUCUCCCACGCCGCGCCGCCCUUGCCUCGCGCCGGCAGCCGCCAAACCCUUGACGGCGGCCUCCUCCCUUCCCCUGCCCUCCGGUCAACUUCCUCUCCGUGCGACGACCUCCUCCCAACCCCGCGCUCCGCCGCCUUCCUACCCGUGCUCCGGCCUCCUUCCUCCCCCGCCUCCGGUAGCCUUCCUCCCCGCGCUCCGGACGCCUUCCUCCCCGCACUCCGGCCUCCUCUCUCCCCUGCCUCCGGUCACCUUCCUCCCCGCGCUUCGGCCGCCUUCCUCCCCGAGAUUCGUCCGCCUUCCACACCCGAGAUCCAAGCGCCAGUGCCCAACCCCUCCGUUCAUGAGCUAGGUGACUGGGACGCCCUCCUCGCCACGGCGUCAUUGCUGGGCGUCAGUAGCGGAAACGGGGUGGCGCAGGGACCUUAUGGUGCUCGUCUCCGACUACUGUCAAGCGUAGAUCGGGAGGUGUGCGAGAAGUGGUGGUUCCGGCGUGUUGGUGCGGCGACCGUCCCGGGGUGGAGCACCUCCGCCUCUAGCCACCGACGUCAGAUUGUGGGAGGUUCUGCUCGCCGUCGGGUGGCACCGCCUCUAGCAGUUUGACAAGGGCGCGUCCCUCAGUACUACGAUGACAAGGAAGACAACUGCCCUCUUUGUGACCUGCUGCUAUUCCCCAUCUUGCACUGGCGGACUGAUGACGCGGGAGCCGCCCUCUUCGCUACAACCCCACGUGGAUCUCUCUCUUUCUCCUCUCUUAAAUUCGUUGAAAAAUUUUUGUUCCAGAGUUGUUCAAAGUUCAGACUUACGUUUUGUGAAGGCAAGGACAAGGAGAAGCCUAUAGAUAACAGUUUGUGUGGAGCUUGGCCAGUUCCUCUGUUCAUGUGCUGAACUCCAAUACUUGCAUCCGCCACCCCAACGCCGACGUGUUCCCUCAGUGCUCUCUCGACAAAAUCCAAUAGUACAUGAUCUCCGGUGUGCCAAGUAUUGCCUGCAGCGAUGCCUGCAUCAUGGCCCAUUGAGGAGAUCUUAUGUAUUCCACAUAGAAGAAAUAUUGUCAGUUCGUGAAUAGAGAAUUUAUGUACCAGACUUAAUAUUAGUUCGCACAAGUAGCAAAUGGGACUGACUGGGAGUGAUCCCUGAACCAUUUCAUUAAAGUCCAUGGUUUCCAACAAUGCUAAUGCUACUAGAAAGGAGCUGGAGGCGAUGAAGCCUCCGUGGCUUCUCCAAUUAGCAUGUUUGGCCAGUCCUGAAGCGCCUCCUCAAGCUCUUCGACGAUGACUAGGCACCCAUCAAGGACGAGAGCUACCACAUUUAGUCUAGUUUCUUAUUUUAGUUUAGUACAAUAACUAAUUUUUGUUCUGACAAGUUCUUAUUAACAUUCUUCUAUACAACAUCAGGGAGAAGGUGCCUGAGACCCAUCAUGUCCUCUAUACAGAUUCAGAGUUUAACAAAUCAAUGGAAGUUUGUUCUCAAAACUGAAAUUGUUCUACAUGUACUGAUAGUUUUUUAUCUCCUAUGUCUGGACUUUGUUUUGUUAGGUAGUCAGUCGAGGACCAGAUGGGUAUGACUGCAACUGGGUUUGUUUUGUGAUGUCUUUGCAACAGGAUAAAAGAAUGGCAUUAGCCUAACAAAAACUAUGAUCUGCCUCACAAUUUCUUCUAAUUCUAAAGUAGCACUGGAUCGAACGGGAAAUUCUAACAACUUUGCGGAUGUCUGGAUCUUAUUAUUUCCGGUUCAAGAGACGGCUCUUUUGCCAUUUGGGAUCUAAGAUGUGACCCCAAAACCCCAAAUGGUCAUGGUGAAGCAUGACUCAUAUCUUCUGCUGUUGUCAAAGAAGCACACAGUCCCACUCGAAGGAAUCGGACAAGGUCUCGAGCAAAGCUUCGAUGAGCAUCACAUCAAUUCUGUAUCUGAAAGACGAUAUCUCCAUUGAUACAUCUGGUGCUGCUGACAACAUUGUGAAAGUUUGGGAUACACGGAACCUUAAAGAGCCUGUCUACAACAAAACCUCUCAAUCAACAGCAUAACCUAUGAAGGAGGGGGUGAUAGAUGGUAUCUCUUGCUUGUCUCAAGAGUCAUAUGGUGCUUAUAUUGCCGCGUCAUGCAUGGAUCACAGUUCCAGGAUCUAUCUUUAUAGUACUUUCCACAUGGACAAGGGUCCAAUAAAGACUUACACUGCCAGCAAAAUAGAGUCUUUCUUUGUCAAAUAAGUCUGCUAUUAGUCCUGAUGGUACUCAUACUUUAGGUGGCUCGAGCGAUGGGAACGUGUACCUCAUACUCGUAUAUUUGUAGCCUUAUAAUUUGUGUAUGUAUUAGUGCAAAAUGUAUUGUACCUAUUUGCUUAUAAAUGAUCCUUAGGCCUAUCUUCUCACAAAACAUGUGUGUACGAAUUCUGUUUUAGGCUAUAACUCUGCUCAAACAAAUUUGCAAAAAAAAUCGUAACAGUAAAGGUUCGAAGGAAAAAAGCUACUUGACAAAUGGAAAAAACGACAAUGGAUUUAUAUUAUGUU